CCUUGACUGUGCUGGAGGAAGGGCUGAGAUGUUGCCAGUAGAGAGGGAGGGAAAAGGAGAAUUAAGUAACACUACAUGACCUUAGUCCGGACCAUUGUGUCAGAAUUGGUUAGGGGGAAACGUCUUCCUUCAGCGACCCGUGGCCCUGCACAGCAGCUGCCUGUCGAGGUCAUGGCCCGGCACAGCCGAGAGGUGCAGGGCCUGGCGCCACACUCACCCGUUACGGAAAGCGGGUGGAUCUGGGAGAGGGAGUUCCCGUCCAAGUACACGGCGAGGAGCGGCUGAGACAGCGUGUUGAUGAAGUCCUCGAUGAGGGUCCCCGGGAUGUCGUUGUUCUGCAGGUACAGCGUCGUGAGGUUACUGAGGUCGAGGAACACGUUGGGCGGCGUCGUGUCGCCCAGAGCCAUGUUGUUGAGGCGCAGCACCUCCAGAUGGGGAGAGCCUGUGAAGACCGUCUCGGUGAGUAUGAAGCCCGUGUUGCCGGAUAAGUC